GAGUAAACGCUGGGCGGCGCACAUAAGGACAUGCAAGUCGAACGAACGUUAACCAGUUAGUUUAACGUAUUGGAGCGGUUAGUGGCGGACUGGUGAGUAACACGUAAGCAACCUGCCUAUCAGAGGGGAACAACAGUUAGAAAUGACUGCUAAUACCGCAUGACAUACGGACAUGGCAUCAUGAUCGUAUCAAAGGAGCAAUCCGCUUUAAGAUGGACUCGCGUCCAAUUAGCUAGUUGGUGAGGUAACGGCCCACCAAGGCGACGAUUGGUAGCCGGACUGAGAGGUUGAACGGCCACAUUGGGACUGAGACACGGCCCAG
rnacentral:rRNA from 1 species